rnacentral:rRNA from 1 species
AUACGAAGGGUGCAAGCGUUACUCGGAAUUACUGGGCGUAAAGCGUGCGUAGGUGGUUGUUUAAGUCUGUCGUGAAAGCCCUGGGCUCAACCUGGGAAUGGCGAUGGAAACUGGGCGACUAGAGUGUGGCAGAGGGUAGUGGAAUUCCUGGUGUAGCAGUGAAAUGCGUAGAGAUCAGGAGGAACAUCCGUGGCGAAGGCGACUGCCUGGGCCAACACUGACACUGAGGCACGAAAGCGUGGGGAGCAAACAGGAUUAGAUACCCUGGUAGUCCACGCCCUAAACGAUGCGAACUGGAUGUUGGGUGCAAUUUGGCACGCAGUAUCGAAGCUAACGCGUUAAGUUCGCCGCCUGGGGAGUACGGUCGCAAGACUGAAACUAAAAGGAAUUGACGGGG